rnacentral:rRNA from 1 species
AGAGUUUGAUCAUGGCUCAGAAUCAACGCUGGCGGCGCGCCUAACACAUGCAAGUCGAACGAGAAAGUGGAGCAAUCCAUGAGUACAGUGGCGUACGGGUGAGUAACACGUGGAUCAUCUACCUCUUUGUGGGGAAUAACCCUGGGAAACCGGGGAUAAUACCGCAUAAGCCUGAGAAGGGAAAGCAGCAAUGCGCUGAGAGAGGAGUCCGCGGCCGAUUAGCUAGUUGGCAGGGUAAGAGCCUACCAAGGCAGAGAUCGGUAGCCGGCCUGAGAGGGCACACGGCCACACUGGCACUGAAACACGGGCCAGACUCCUACGGGAGGCAGCAGUGGGGAAUCUUGCACAAUGGGGGAAACCCUGAUGCAGCGACGCCGCGUGAGCGAUGAAGCCCUCCGGGGUGUAAAGCUCUUUCGGCAGGGAAGAUUAUGACGGUACCUGCAGAAGCAGCUGCGGCUAACUACGUGCCAGCAGCCGCGGUAAUACGUAGGCAGCAAGCGUUGUUCGGAGUUACUGGGCGUAAAGGGUGUGUAGGCGGUUGUUUAAGUUUGGUGUGAAAUCUCCCGGCUCAACUGGGAGGGUGCGCCGAAUACUGAAUGACUUCGAGUGCGGGAGAGGAUAGUGGAAUUCCUGGUGUAGCGGUGAAAUGCGUAGAUAUCAGGAGGAACACCGGUGGUGUAGACGGCUAUCUGGACCGUAACUGACGCUGAGACACGAAAGCGUGGGUAGCAAACAGGAUUAGAUACCCCUGUAGUCC